rnacentral:rRNA from 1 species
UCCGUAGGGGGCAAGCGUUGUCCGGAAUCAUUGGGCGUAAAGCGCGUGUAGGCGGCUCGGUAAGUCUGCUCUGAAAGUCCAAGGCUCAACCUUGGGAUGCGGGUGGAUACUGCCGGGCUCGAGUCCGGAAGAGGCGAGUGGAAUUCCUGGUGUAGCGGUGAAAUGCGCAGAUAUCAGGAGGAACACCAAUGGCGAAGGCAGCUCGCUGGGACGUGACUGACGCUGAGGCGCGAAAGCGUGGGGAGCAAACAGG